rnacentral:rRNA from 1 species
AGUGGCGGACGGGUGAGUAACGCGUGGGUAACCUGCCUUACACAGGGGGAUAACAGUUGGAAACGGCUGCUAAUACCGCAUAAGCGCACAGUACCGCAUGGUACGGUGUGAAAAACUCCGGUGGUGUGAGAUGGACCCGCGUCUGAUUAGCCAGUUGGCAGGGUAACGGCCUACCAAAGCGACGAUCCAUAGCCGGCCUGAGAGGGUGAACGGCCACAUUGGGACUGAGACACGGCCCAGACUCCUACGGGAGGCAGCAUG